UUUGUAGGUCUAGAAAGACUUUUUUUUAAAAUUUAAGCUUUUUUAGACUUUACGUGGACAUUCUUGUCUUCAUUUUGGGUGUCAUUUUAUAAGCAGAGAUUGGUCAUCUGUUUCCCAGAAAUCCAUAUCCAAAUAAUCACACAGAGACUAUAUUAAUUAAAACACUGUUUGGUCUGUUAACUAGGGCGUCUUAUUAAUUAACUCUUACAUCUUAAAUUAACCCAUUUCUAUUAAUCUGUGUAUCACUACAGAGCCCUAGUCUACCAGUAAGGUUCUAGUGGUGUCUUUGUCCUUGACAGCUACAAGACCUCUCUUUAACUCCACCUACUUCUAUCUCUGCCUCUCUUCUGAUUUCAUGCCCAGCUUUACUCUGCUAAACCAUUGGCCCAAACAACUUUAUUCAUCAACCAAUAAAAGCAGCACAUAUGCACAUCCAACAUCAUUGUGAGCCAACUGAAUUGAGUGCUAGGAACUGAACACUGGUCCUUUGCAAGAGUGAUAUGCUCAUCUUAGCUUCUUAACCAAAUUUCCAGCCCCUCUUUUGAAUAUUUAAUUUUUUCAUUGUAAAAAACUAAAUUCCUUUGCCUCUUUUGAUAGUAUACUUCUACCUAUUUUAUUUGGUGUCAUUUUAUCGAUUGAUUUUUGUUUGUUUAUUAUUUAUUUAUUUGGGGUUUUGAGACAGGAUCUCGUAGAGCUCAGGCUGUGUUUAAGGUAAAGUCUGGACUGAAUUUCUGAUCCCACUAGUCCACUUUGAAUUACAGACAUUGCCACCACAUCCUGCUUUCUUUGUUUCUAUUGGAAACUGUGUGGGUGACUUUUUUUUUAUCUGCUUUCACUCUGUCUUGGAGGUUUAUUCUUUGGUAUAUAGAAAAGGUGCUAUUUUUGAUGUGUUGAUUUUAUUUUCUACCACUUUGAUGAAAGUAUUCAUUAGACUUUAAGAGUUUUCUAGUGCAUCUCUGGGAACUUCCUUAAAUCUUCUACUUGUUUGUUUUUGAGACAGAGUUAUUCUGUGUCAUAGCCAUGGCUGUCCUGUAAUUUGCUCGAUAGACCACGCUGACCUUGAACUCACAGAGCUCUGCCUGCCUGCCUGCCUAUGCUACCGAACUGAUGGAAUUAAAGGAGAAUUUCUGAACCCUCUCCUUUGUCCUAUUGACUGACUCUGGGCUGCUGACUGUGUGGAGUAAAAUCUCUAAACUUUGUCUCCUGCUUGCCUUUCACCCACAGGGUUCAGCAAUCAGCCCCAUACCUAUCACCAUGCACAAAACUAAAGUCCAAAUGGAUCAAAGACUUCAACAUAAAGCCAGCCACACUGAAACUCAUACAAGAGAAAGUGGGAAGUACACUUGAACGCAUUGGCACAGGAGACCACUUCCUAAAUAGAACCCAGGUAGCACAGACACAGAGAUACAAUUAAUAAAUGGGACCUCCUGAAACUGAAAAUCUUCUGUAAAGCAAAGGACACAGUCAAGAAGACAAAACGGCAACCUUCAGAAAAGAUCUUCACCAACCUCACAUCAGACAGAGGACUGAUAUUUUUUUCUCUUUUGUACAUAUACAUUUUCUUUUGUAGAUUUAUAAAGAGCACACACCAAACUGUGAAUUUUAAAAGAAGAGAAAUCAUUUCUACCCGGAGAGAAUCUCCUCUCUGGUACCAGUGCUGCAGAUCAGAGAAUGAAGAGAGCAGCCGAAAUCAGAGGAUUCAGUCUUUCCUGGUUCUGUGGAGGAUGCUCAUAGAUGGAUGCUCAGCCUGGAUGAGAGAUUAGAACGCAAUAAAACAUUGCUUGAGAAGAUGCCUGUGGGAGACCUUCAAAUACCAGCAGAGCAAUGACUCACAAAGCCACGCCGGCAAGAAAGAGGGUCUAGGCAGCUCCGCUGCACCUAGUAAUAAUGUCCUUCAGGCGCUAUAAUGCAUUUUAAGAACAGGGCUUACACAGAAUCCCCCUUUGAAAUACCGUGAAGGGAUUGAAAGUGGUGUCGUUUCCUUUUAGGGUGACACUGAAAGUCUGUGACGUAUCUGGGAAUUUUGUUGGAAAAUUCAUGUUUCAGGGGGUACAUUUUUCCAAAUAUUAAUUUAAUGAUACUGUACUGUUAUAUUAUUAUAGAUACACUUCCAAGCUGGAUUUUAGAACGAUGAUGUUUUAUAAUGAUGAUUGGCACUAACCUAUUCUAGAUUUAUGGGUAAUGAAUCAAUCUGAACUAGACAGCCUUUUAAAAUUACGCAGUUUUGCUAUUUUCUUUUGUUUUUCUUUUUAGUAUUGUACUUGAUAAAUAGAAUUCAUGAGUACUGCAUGAAAUUCCAUAAAGAUAUGAAUUUAUUUUAAUAAAGUUUUUUAUGUAUACCACAAGAAUAGCUAUACCCUGUAUUACAGGAUAAAAUUCGUUUGACAGUGUUCAACAAAUGGCUCAAUUAUGUGAUUUCCUGCCAAGGAAAACAUAUUAAUCUGCAAAGUUGAAAUCUGUUUUCAAGAUGAUAUACAAUUUGAGGCUGGCAUUGGGACUGUUUGUCUAAGUACAUUGAAUUUAUAGCAUAUUUUUCAUUCUCUGUACAUGAACCUAAAUUAUGAAAAGCAUCAUCUAGAAAAUACUAAUGGAUUUCCCGUUUCAAGGAAAGAAAAUUGGAAUUCUGAAGAAAUAAAAUGUUUUCCCUAAUUUAUCUUGAAAAAUUAGAGUAAUAAUGUAGGUGUCUUAAUUCAUGUUUAAUUUCUUUGUGUCUGGCUCUAUUUUACUUGCAUAUUACAAUUAAUGUCUUAGGACUGUUGGCUCAGGGAGGCUAUCUCAGAAAAUGUUAAUAUCCUCCAUGAACAUUAAUAUUGCUGUUCUACUAGAAAGAUUUGAAAGGACUUAAUGGAUAUAUUUUGAACUAGACACUUAAAGGCUAAAUUAAAAAUAAUAGAAGUGAUUAUGUGAGACAUGUUUAUUUUCUCAGCACCAUCAAUUUAUGGUUUGUGAACUUCUCCUCUUAGAGUCUAUCUAUAAAUAUUUUAUCCUUAAAUAUUUGU